UACAGAGGUCCCAAGCGUUGUUCGGAUUCAUUGGGCGUAAAGGGUGCGUAGGCGGCGCGGUAAGUCGGGUGUGAAAUCUCGGGGCUUAACUCCGAAACUGCAUUCGAUACUGCCGUGCUUGAGGACUGGAGAGGAGACUGGAAUUUACGGUGUAGCGGUGAAAUGCGUAGAUAUCGUAAGGAACACCAGUGGCGAAGGCGGGUCUCUGGACAGUUCCUGACGCUGAGGCACGAAGGCCAGGGGAGCAAACGGG
rnacentral:rRNA from 1 species